rnacentral:rRNA from 1 species
UACGAACUGUGCGAACGUUAUUCGGAAUCACUGGGCUUACAGGGUGCGUAGGCGGCUUGUUAAGUAGGGUGUGAAAGCCCCCGGCUCAACCGGGGAAUUGCGCCCUAAACUGGCGAGCUGGAGUGAGAUAGGGGUGUGUGGAACUUCCGGUGGAGCGGUGAAAUGUGUUGAUAUCGGAAGGAACGCCGGUGGCGAAAGCGACACACUGGAUCUUGUCUGACGCUGAGGCACGAAAGCCAGGGGAGCGAAC